rnacentral:rRNA from 1 species
AUACGUAGGGUGCGAGCGUUAAUCGGAAUUACUGGGCGUAAAGCGUGCGCAGGCGGUUUCGUAAGACAGGCGUGAAAUCCCCGGGCUUAACCUGGGAACUGCGCUUGUGACUGCGAGGCUAGAGUACGGCAGAGGGAGGUAGAAUUCCACGUGUAGCAGUGAAAUGCGUAGAGAUGUGGAGGAAUACCGAUGGCGAAGGCAGCCUCCUGGGCCAGUACUGACGCUCAUGCACGAAAGCGUGGGGAGC